rnacentral:rRNA from 1 species
UACGAAGGGAGCUAGCGUUGUUCGGAAUCACUGGGCGUAAAGCGCACGUAGGCGGGUCUUUAAGUCAGGGGUGAAAUCCCGGGGCUCAACCCCGGAACUGCCUUUGAUACUGGUAGUCUCGAGUCCGGAAGAGGUGAGUGGAAUUCCGAGUGUAGAGGUGAAAUUCGUAGAUAUUCGGAGGAACACCAGUGGCGAAGGCGGCUCACUGGUCCGGUACUGACGCUGAGGUGCGAAAGCGUGGGGAGCAAACAGG